AGAGUUUGAUCAUGGCUCAGAUUGAACGCUGGCGGCAGGCCUAACACAUGCAAGUCGAGCGGUAGCACAGAGAGCUUGCUCUCGGGUGACGAGCGGCGGACGGGUGAGUAAUGUCUGGGAAACUGCCUGAUGGAGGGGGAUAACUACUGGAAACGGUAGCUAAUACCGCAUAAUGUCGCAAGACCAAAGUGGGGGACCUUCGGGCCUCAUGCCAUCAGAUGUGCCCAGAUGGGAUUAGCUAGUAGGUGGGGUAACGGCUCACCUAGGCGACGAUCCCUAGCUGGUCUGAGAGGAUGACCAGCCACACUGGAACUGAGACACGGUCCAGACUCCUACGGGAGGCAGCAGUGGGGAAUAUUGCACAAUGGGCGCAAGCCUGAUGCAGCCAUGCCGCGUGUGUGAAGAAGGCCUUCGGGUUGUAAAGCACUUUCAGCGGGGAGGAAGGCGUUAAGGUUAAUAACCUUGGCGAUUGACGUUACCCGCAGAAGAAGCACCGGCUAACUCCGUGCCAGCAGCCGCGGUAAUACGGAGGGUGCAAGCGUUAAUCGGAAUUACUGGGCGUAAAGCGCACGCAGGCGGUCUGUCAAGUCGGAUGUGAAAUCCCCGGGCUCAACCUGGGAACUGCAUUCGAAACUGGCAGGCUAGAGUCUUGUAGAGGGGGGUAGAAUUCCAGGUGUAGCGGUGAAAUGCGUAGAGAUCUGGAGGAAUACCGGUGGCGAAGGCGGCCCCCUGGACAAAGACUGACGCUCAGGUGCGAAAGCGUGGGGAGCAAACAGGAUUAGAUACCCUGGUAGUCCACGCCGUAAACGAUGUCGAUUUGGAGGUUGUGCCCUUGAGGCGUGGCUUCCGGAGCUAACGCGUUAAAUCGACCGCCUGGGGAGUACGGCCGCAAGGUUAAAACUCAAAUGAAUUGACGGGGGCCCGCACAAGCGGUGGAGCAUGUGGUUUAAUUCGAUGCAACGCGAAGAACCUUACCUGGUCUUGACAUCCACAGAACUUAGCAGAGAUGCUUUGGUGCCUUCGGGAACUGUGAGACAGGUGCUGCAUGGCUGUCGUCAGCUCGUGUUGUGAAAUGUUGGGUUAAGUCCCGCAACGAGCGCAACCCUUAUCCUUUGUUGCCAGCGGUUAGGCCGGGAACUCAAAGGAGACUGCCAGUGAUAAACUGGAGGAAGGUGGGGAUGACGUCAAGUCAUCAUGGCCCUUACGACCAGGGCUACACACGUGCUACAAUGGCAUAUACAAAGAGAAGCGACCUCGCGAGAGCAAGCGGACCUCAUAAAGUAUGUCGUAGUCCGGAUUGGAGUCUGCAACUCGACUCCAUGAAGUCGGAAUCGCUAGUAAUCGUAGAUCAGAAUGCUACGGUGAAUACGUUCCCGGGCCUUGUACACACCGCCCGUCACACCAUGGGAGUGGGUUGCAAAAGAAGUAGGUAGCUUAACCUUCGGGAGGGCGCUUACCACUUUGUGAUUCAUGACUGGGGUGAAGUCGUAACAAGGUAACCGUAGGGGAACCUGCGGUUG
rnacentral:rRNA from 2 species